rnacentral:rRNA from 1 species
UACGUAGGGGGCUAGCGUUGUCCGGAAUCAUUGGGCGUAAAGCGCGUGUAGGCGGUCCGGUAAGUCCGCUGUGAAAGCCCGGGGCUUAACCCCGGGAGGCGGGUGGAUACUGCUGGGCUCGAGUCCGGAAGAGGCGAGUGGAAUUCCCGGUGUAGCGGUGAAAUGCGCAGAUAUCGGGAGGAACACCAAUGGCGAAGGCAGCUCGCUGGGACGUGACUGACGCUGAGACGCGAAAGCGUGGGGAGCAAACAGG